rnacentral:rRNA from 1 species
AGCGAACGCUGGCGGCAGGCUUAACACAUGCAAGUCGAGCGGGCACUUUCGGGUGUCAGCGGCGGACGGGUGAGUAACGCGUGGGAACGUGCCCUCUGGUUCGGAAUCACUCAGGGAAACUUGAGCUAAUACCGGAUACGCCCUUUUGGGGAAAGGCUUGCUGCCGGAGGAUCGGCCCGCGUCUGAUUAGCUAGUUGGUGAGGUAACGGCUCACCAAGGCGACGAUCAGUAGCUGGUCUGAGAGGAUGAUCAGCCACACUGGGACUGAGACACGGCCCAGACUCCUACGGGAGGCAGCAGUGGGGAAUAUUGGACAAUGGGCGCAAGCCUGAUCCAGCCAUGCCGCGUGAGUGAUGAAGGCCUUAGGGUUGUAAAGCUCUUUUAUCCGGGACGAUAAUGACGGUACCGGAUGAAUAAGCCCCGGCUAACUUCGUG